rnacentral:rRNA from 1 species
AUUGAACGCUGGCGGCAGGCCUAACACAUGCAAGUCGAGCGGAUGAAGGGAGCUUGCUCCUGGAUUCAGCGGCGGACGGGUGAGUAAUGCCUAGGAAUCUGCCUGGUAGUGGGGGAUAACGUCCGGAAACGGGCGCUAAUACCGCAUACGUCCUGAGGGAGAAAGUGGGGGAUCUUCGGACCUCACGCUAUCAGAUGAGCCUAGGUCGGAUUAGCUAGUUGGUGGGGUAAAGGCCUACAAAGGCGACGAUCCGUAACUGGUCUGAGAGGAUGAUCAGUCACACUGGAACUGAGACACGGUCCAGACUCCUACGGGAGGCAGCAGUGGGGAAUAUUGGACAAUGGGCGAAAGCCUGAUCCAGCCAUGCCGCGUGUGUGAAGAAGGUCUUCGGAUUGUAAAGCACUUUAAGUUGGGAGGAAGGGCAGUAAGUUAAUACCUUGCUGUUUUGACGUUACCAACAGAAUAAGCACCGGCUAACUUCGUG